AGAGCGAACGCUGGCGGCAGGCCUAAUACAUGCAAGUCGAACGGACCCUUCGGGGUUAGUGGCGGACGGGUGAGUAACACGUGGGAACGUGCCCUUUGGUUCGGAACAACUCAGGGAAACUUGAGCUAAUACCGAAUGUGCCCCCAUUUUUAAACAAGAUGGGUGGGAAAGAUUUAUCGCCAUUGGAGCGGCCCGCGUCUGAUUAGCUAGUUGGUGAGGUAAAGGCUCACCAAGGCGACGAUCAGUAGCUGGUCUGAGAGGAUGAUCAGCCACACUGGGACUGAGACACGGCCCAGACUCCUACGGGAGGCAGCAGUAGGGAAUCUUGCGCAAUGGGCAAAGCCUGACGCAGCCAUGCCGCGUGAAUGAUGAAGGUCUUAGGAUUGUAAAAUUCUUUCAGCGGGACGAUAAUGACGGUACCCGCAGAAGAACGCCCGGCUAACUUCGCGCCAGCAGCCGC
rnacentral:rRNA from 1 species